ACGCUGCGUUUGCGGGUGGUAAAG
rnacentral:siRNA from 1 species